UGGGGAAUUUUGGACAAUGGGCGAAAGCCUGAUCCAGCAAUGCCGCGUGAGUGAAGAAGGCCUUCGGGUUGUAAAGCUCUUUUGUCAGGGAAGAAAAAGCCUGGGCUAAUAUCCUGGGUGAAUGACGGUACCUGAAGAAUAAGCACCGGCUAACUACGUGCCAGCAGCCGCGGUAAUACGUAGGGUGCGAGCGUUAAUCGGAAUUACUGGGCGUAAAGGGUGCGCAGGCGGUUGUGCAAGACAGGCGUGAAAUCCCCGGGCUUAACCUGGGAAUUGCGCUUGUGACUGCAUAGCUAGAGUGUGUCAGAGGGGGGUAGAAUUCCACGUGUAGCAGUGAAAUGCGUAGAUAUGUGGAGGAAUACCGAUGGCGAAGGCAGCCCCCUGGGAUAACACUGACGCUCAUGCACGAAAGCGUGGGGAGCAAACAGG
rnacentral:rRNA from 1 species